rnacentral:rRNA from 1 species
AACGAACGCUGGCGGCAGGCCUAACACAUGCAAGUCGAACGCCGUAGCAAUACGGAGUGGCAGACGGGUGGGUAACGCGUGGGAACAUACCCCUCGGUUCGGAAUAACUCAGGGAAACUUGAGCUAAUACCGGAUACGUCCGAGGUUUUAAUCGACCUUGGAGAAAGAUUUAUCGCCGGAGGAUUGGCCCGCGUCUGAUUAGCUUGUUGGUGAGGUAAUGGCUCACCAAGGCGACGAUCAGUAGCUGGUCUGAGAGGAUGAUCAGCCACAUUGGGACUGAGACACGGCCCAAACUCCUACGGGAGGCAGCAGUGGGGAGUAUUGGACAAUGGGCGAAAGCCUGAUCCAGCCAUGCCGCGUGAGUGAUGAAGGCCUUAGGGUUGUAAAGCU